rnacentral:lncRNA from 1 species
AUUUCGGAUAUCUUCUGUGAUAAAAUUUAAUGAGAAUGGGCUUCAUGUGGAUUUCAUGGGAGCCAGACAGCAGAAAGUUGGCUUUGUCUUGUCCCUAAAUGGAAGAAUCCAACACACAUUUUCUGGAUUCAAGACUAUACCUCAUCUCCUUUCUCUGAAUGGAUUACUAAAGCACAAAAACAACAUUCACGAUGGUAUGUUCUUACUUUGUGUUUUGCUGCAGCUAUCCAAGAAAACUUCUUAAUAUAUUCCUUACUGAAGUGCAUUUGAUGCAGAGAGUAUUUAACAAGCAAAAUGAACUAUUCGUCGUUGGGUUGAAACUACUUCUGAGUGAAUUCACAUAGAUGCAGUUGCAUUUUUUUUUGUUUGAUAGUUUUCAUAUUUUUGUUAAUUGAAGGAAGUAGUGGGAGGCAUCCUUCCUAUGCAGUCCUUCUGAAACACAGAGGGAGACAGACUUGGGACCCUUACUCUUCUGAAUGGUUCAUGGAUGCAAUAGGUCACUGCAGAGUUCCAGAGGGAUUGUUUAGCUUGGAGGCAUACGAGUAGCCUUUGUGAUAGGUCACAGUCCCUGUGUAAGUUUUCCCUCAGAGAGCACUGAUAGUGUAGUCUGUGGCCUAAAGGGUCAAGGAACUUGGUGAAUAAAAAGAAAUGGUUGUCAGAAGUACCAUUAUGUAAUUUGUUUUAAACACAGACACUUCUAGUAGUAGAUAAACUCUCUCUCAAGAAUAAACUGAUUUUCUAUCUGGAUUCGGGUAAAUUAUCUAUUAUAAUCAAUGGAAAUUCAUUUACUUCCUCCUGGUAUAAAUAAAUGGUUAAGAUGUUGCUCGUCAAAUCCUGGUUACUUCUGUCCCAAAGGGAACCUGUCUCCAGUAAUCAUUUCUGCUCAUUACAGGUAACAUCAAUUUGAUGAUCAACAAUGCACUGUAUGGAUUCCAUCUCGGGAGCAGAAAUGUGUUUGGGAAUAGCACCAUACGCAAGAUCACUUUCACUAUGUUUCAGAAUGGCAGUCAGGCAAUCCCAGUGGAAGCAAUACUGAAAGGACAACUGGAGCUGAGUAAAGAGAUGAUAAGAAGUCUAGUUAGCUUUCACAUGGAUGAGAAGGCCCUUUUUGUAGAUUUUUCCAAAGUAAUGAGUCACGGACACAAUAGAGUCACUGGAACUCUCACACAUAAUAUCAGCUCUUUAAAAAACGCAGGAUUGCCCUCGGAUGGCAUUCUCACCAUGAUAUAUGAGCACAGAACAGGAAAUCACACCAUUACUGUAGUCCUACAGAGUGGCAGUGAAAGAAUUUCUGCUGUGUUUGGAGCUCACAGACUGUCCACAGAACCUCCUAAAUCCUAUCUGUCUGUGAGAUUAAAGCACAAUGUCACAAAGAUAAAGAAACAUGGGAUCCCUUUUAUUGUGGAAGCUGUUGGCUAUUAUGAGGUAAGAAAAGUUCAGCCUAUUAUUUAAUUUCUGGCAGAACCAUUUCUAAUAACUGUAGUUUAUUCCUGUGCACGGUAUUCCAAACACAUCUGCAUUUUUGAGAAGUACUAAGUUAAUAUGCAAAACAAAGGCACCUGGAUGGUUUCUUGUCAUACGGUGUACCUGUUGCCUGAUGUUUUGGAUCUGAAUGUAGACUAAAUGAGAUUUUAAAUUCACUUCUGAUUUCAGUGUAGUGCCUUGCUACUGCAAGGAGUAUUGUACAACAGGAGUAUUGUACAAUUUUAUUUUUCCCCUAUAACUGAGAAGUUAUAACUUGGAAGUGAACAGGGAAGCAUUAAUGUAUGUAGCCAUCAAGUAACUGUCAACAAACCUAGCACUGCAUUGCAUCUUGUACUGGGAUUUAUCUAAUUCUGAUUUCAUCCUUUGGAUGUUGCUGAAAAGAGGAAGAGUGCUUAGCAUUUCUUUCCAUUUGGAAAUUUCUAUCCACAGGAGCAUCACAGAUCAUGUUUCCUGGUACUAUGUUGCUUGUCUACUCUUUGUCUAUGUGCAUUUUUGCUAUAGAUCUGUGAACAAGUUAUAGCUCUCUUGUAUCUCAGAUUAUCCUUCCAUAAAAGAAAAAAAUAAAAAAGUUCAAAUAUUUUUCUUGUUCUUAUGU